rnacentral:pre_miRNA from 1 species
UUAACUCAAAUUUGUAUGGAGUUGGAACGUUUGCUUACGUUUGCCGCUAGGGGCGCUGUUCCAAUUGCAUACAAAUUUGAGUUA